UGGCGGACGGGUGAGUAACGCGUGGAAAACCUGCCGUAUACUGGGGGAGUAACACUUAGAAAUAGGUGCUAAUACCGCAUAAGCGCACAGCUUCGCAUGAAGCGGUGUGAAAAACUCUGGUGGUAUACGAUGGUUCCGCGUCUGAUUAGCUAGUUGGUGGGGUAAUGGCCUACCAAGGCAACGAUCAGUAGCCGGCCUGAGAGGGUGAACGGCCACAUUAGGACUGAGACACGGCCCAAACUCCUACGGGAGGCAGCAG
rnacentral:rRNA from 1 species